rnacentral:rRNA from 1 species
UACGUAGGGUGCAAGCGUUAAUCGGAAUUACUGGGCGUAAAGCGUGCGCAGGCGGUUGUGCAAGACAGAUGUGAAAUCCCCGGGCUUAACCUGGGAACUGCAUUUGUGACUGCACGGCUAGAGUGUGUCAGAGGGGGGUAGAAUUCCACGUGUGAGCAGUGAAAUGCGUAGAUAUGUGGAGGAAUACCGAUGGCGAAGGCAGCCCCCUGGGAUAACACGUGACGCCUGCAUAGCACGGAAAG